AAAGACAUGCAUAUAUCCAUUGGGGAACAGUUCCCAAAAGAAAUCCAAGAACGUAGGAAAAAAUUGUUGCCAAUUUAUAAAAGGGCCAGGGAAAGUAAUCAAAAGGCUCUCUUAGUGAGGGACAAAUUAUUCAUCGACGGAAAACUUUACUCCGAUGAUGGUCCUUUCCAGAUGAAGUCAACGCCAACCCAACCAAAGGCAUCGGGAGGAAGAGGACAAAAACACGGCAGAGGGAAAUAGAGGGGUCAGGGGAACCAAACUGGACUGUGCAUAAUAGCAUGGAACAUACAUGGAGGUCUCGAAAACAAAUGGAGUGAGAGAAAUUUCAAAUCUUUUUUGUGUACAUGCCAUUAUUUGUCUUUAUGAAUGUUGGAUUGGAAAGGAUUUCAACAUCAGUGACCAAAUUUUCAACCAUCAACGAUAUAUGUAAUUAACUUUAGAUGUUGUUCUUUUGAUUCUUUACUUCUGUCAAUUUUUCAUAUUUAUGUAUGUACAAUGUAAUAGGGUCUCCUGUAAAAUACCCACUUCUGUACUUUACUAUGUUUAAUUUGUAUAAUCUGAUGAGCUGCAAAGCUGAAAGAAAUAAAGAAUGAAUGA
rnacentral:sRNA from 1 species